AACGAACGCUGGCGGCAUGCCUAACACAUGCAAGUCGAACGAGACCUUCGGGUCUAGUGGCGCACGGGUGCGUAACGCGUGGGAACCUGCCCUUAGGUUCGGAAUAACUCCCCGAAAGGGGUGCUAAUACCGGAUAAUGUCUUCGGACCAAAGAUUUAUCGCCUUUGGAUGGGCCCGCGUUGGUUUAGCCAGUUGGUAGGGUAAAAGCCUACCAAGGCGACGAUCCAUAGCUGGUCUGAGAGGAUGGUCAGCCACACUGGGGCUGAGACACGGCCCAGACUCCUACGGGAGGCAGCAGAGGCGAAUAUUGGACAAUGGGCGAAAGCCUGAUCCAGCAAGGCCGCGUGAGUGAUGAAGGCCUUAGGGUUGUAAAGCUCUUUUACCCGGGAUGAUAAUGACAGUACCGAAAGAAUAAGCACCGGCUAACUCCGUG
rnacentral:rRNA from 1 species